rnacentral:rRNA from 1 species
UACGUAGGGGGCAAGCGUUGUCCGGAAUCAUUGGGCGUAAAGCGCGUGUAGGCGGCCCGAUAAGUCCGCCGUGAAAGCCCAGGGCUCAACCCUGGGAUGCCGGUGGAAACUGUCGGGCUAGAGUCCGGAAGAGGCGAGUGGAAUUCCUGGUGUAGCGGUGAAAUGCGCAGAUAUCAGGAGGAACACCAAUGGCGAAGGCAGCUCGCUGGGACGGUUACUGACGCUGAGACGCGAAAGCGUGGGGAGCAAACAGG